UACGGAGGAUGCAAGCGUUAUCCGGAAUGAUUGGGCGUAAAGGGUCCGCAGGUGGCAGUGUAAGUCUGCUGUCAAAGAAUGAGGCUUAACCUCAUCAAGGCAGUGGAAACUACACAGCUAGAGUACGGUCGGGGUAGAAGGAAUUCCUGGUGUAGCGGUGAAAUGCGUAGAUAUCAGGAAGAACACCGGUGGCGAAAGCGCCCUGCUAGGCCGCAACUGACACUGAGGGACGAAAGCGAGGGGAGCGAAUGGG
rnacentral:rRNA from 1 species